UAAGAGGUCCCGCCUGCCCUGUGACUAUGGUUUAACGGCCGCGGUAUUUUUACCGUGCAAAGGUAGCGCAAUCACUUGUCCUUUAAAUGAGGACCUGUAUGAAAGGCAUCACGAGGGCUUAGCUGUCUCCUUUUUCAAGUCGAUGAAAUUGAUCUCUCCGUGCAGAAGCGGGGAUUAAAACAUAAGACGAGAAGACCCUAUGGAGCUUUAGAUACAAGACAGAUCAUGUUAAGCACCUUAAAUAAAAGUGGCAAACUAAGUGGAACCUGCCUUAAUGUCUUUGGUUGGGGCGACCGCGGGGCAACAAAAAGCCCCCAUGAGGAAUAAAAGUAUUCUUUCAAAAACAAGAGCCACAGCUCUAAUGAGCAGAACAUCUGACCUACCAGAUCCGGCAUAGCCGAUCAACGAACCGAGUUACCCUAGGGAUAACAGCGCAAUCCCCUUUUAGAGCCCCUAUCGACAAGGGGGUUUACGACCUCGAUGUUGGAUCAGGGCAUCCUAAUGGUGUAACCGCUAUUAAGGGUUCGUU
rnacentral:rRNA from 1 species